rnacentral:rRNA from 1 species
CAAUAGCGUAUAUUAAAGUUGUUGCGGUUAAAAGUUCGUAGUUGGAUUUCUGUGAAGGAUAACCGGUCCGCACUAUGUGCGUGUAUCUGUUUGUCCUUUGCAUCCUCGCGGAAUACGUCACUGUGCUUCACUGCAUGGGGCGGGCUUCGCGACUUUUACUUGAGGAAAUUAGAGUGUUCACGGCAGGCUCACGCCAUGAAUAUAUUAGCAUGGAAUAAUAAUAUAGGACCUUGGUUCUAUUUUGUUGGUUUCUAGGGCUAAGGUAAUGAUUAAUAGGGACAAUUGGGGCAUUCGUAUUAACGCGUCAGAGGUGGAAUUCUUGGAUUGCGUUACGACGAACUACUGCGAAAGCAUUUGCCAAGGAUGUUUUUCAUUGAUCAAGAGCGAAAGUAAGGGGAUCGAAGACGAUCAGAU